rnacentral:lncRNA from 10 species
CGGUCGAUGUUCCUCCUGCUGGCUCAUUCUGGAGUGGCCUUCCCGGCCCUGCACUGGGCAGUCAUGCUCCCCUCCCGGCACCUCUCACCCCUGACAGCCAUCCUCAGCUCUGCCUGCUCUGUGCCCAGGGUCUGUCCUGCAGGCCCCUGCCAGGCUCCCUCGGCCUGUGGCUUUGGGUCAGUUUCAGUCAAUGGGAGACACCAGCAGGAGGAGAGGGGGCAGAGGAGCAACAAAGGGGGGGCGCUCUUUCUUUCCUGGCCCCCUGCUUCAGCAUCCUGUCUCUCAGGGUCCCUCUGUCCUUCCCUGAUGAUUGGUCAGGUGGGUGGCUGCUUCUUCUCCUUGUCCCAUCCUCCCCGGGGAUGGUAACAGCUUCUGACUGCUGCUAAUCUCUGUGUGCCUCAACUUCCCAAUUCAUUCUUUAGCCCUGACUGCCCCUCUGCAAAGGGUCCCUUCAUUCAUAUCUGAUUUGAACCAUAGGGGGUGAACUCUGCUUCCUCUUGAGACCUUAACCCUGAUGUCUCUGAAGGAUUUGGGGUCCUCUGAUGUGAACCCAGUCCUGUGUCAAUAAUUGAUAAAGCUGGCAGGAAAAUGUGAGAUCAGAGUACUAAUUAUCAAAUUAAUAUUUAAUCCAAGGUUAGAGUAAUAAUGAUUAAUAUGACUACUAACAAAGCACAUAUAUAUAAUUUUGUUCUUGUGACAUCAGCUCCAAAACCUAUGCAGGGCACAUGUGAUUAUGUCCAUACUGAAAGUGAGUGUAUUUAUUAAUCAAUGUUCUUCAGAGAAACAGAACUAAAGGGAAAUGUAUAUAUAUAUGCAUGCGUGUGUGUGUGUGUGUGUGCACGUGGAGAGAGAGAGAGAAAUUUAAGGAAUUGGCUCACAUGAUUGUAGAGGCUCGGUAAGUCCAAAAUCUGCAGGUUAGGCCAGCAGGCUGGAGACCCAGGGCAGAGUUGCUGUUGAGUUCAAAGGUCAUCUGCUAGGAGAAUUCCUUCUUGCUUGGGGGCCCUCAAAGCAGCUGCAGCAACAGAGUCUGACCUCCCAGCAAGGAGCUCCUGCUGGAGGUUUGUUUACUUUGAACAAAAGCUCACAAAGAUGCCUACGAUUCCCUCUGCAAAUAGGAACUUUCCAUUUCUGCAUUACGCAGGGCAUACGUGUGUCAUUUAGGUGUUAAAACAGACCAGAAUGUGUUCUCCUGGCCAGAAGUGAGCAAAGCCAACUCCAGCUGCAGUUCCCUGACAGCCCAGUGAAUUAGGCUGAAGGAAAUGGCCCCACGUGGAGGUGGGAAAGGCCCACAGAGGAUGGUCGUGGUGGGAAACUCAGCAGGCAGAAAUGUUCUCUUGGUUUCUGGGAGGCUGGAGGUUUCCCAAGGGGCCGAUGAAGUUUCAGCCUCAACUGAUGGCAGCAGCCUCUCCAGAUGGCCUGCCACUGCCAUCACACCAGCUGUAGCAGGGAGGUGCAGCCGGGGUUGACCGCUCCAUGGAGUUGACAGGAGCUGGGGACAAGUGGGAGCCCUGCCCCUUCCAAGCUGGGGCAGGAGCUCCCCAGGUGCCGCUGCAGCCAUUCAUACCACGGCUGCAGGCCUGGGCUUCCCACUCCACAGAGCGCGCAGGAGCCCCACCCUCCUGUGAGGGGUUGCACCAGCCCAAGUCAUGGCUGCAGAUCUGAGCCUCCCUGUGCUCUUUGGGGGCUGGGAGCAGGCAGGAGCCUCACCACCUGCAACCCGCCCCCCAGCCCCCUCCAGGUACAGCUGCAGUCACCCAAACCCUGGCUGCAGACUCGGGCAUCCCUGCACUCUUGGGGACCCAGGGAGGCCCUCCUGCCAUCGCAGGCUCGGAAGUGCCUGCUCCUGCUGCCUGGCUUCUCCCUACUAUGGGUGCCAGCUUCAUUCUUGAAGCAAAGUCUGGGCCUAGCCCGGGUGCCAUGAAAGGCAGCAGGAGGCAGACAGAUUCCUGGGUGGAAGGGGAUGGGUCCCCGGUGAUUCCCAGCCACAUGUCCAAAGAAUCUUGAAGGAAUAGGAUGGUUGGUGUGGAAGAAGGCUUGUGAAUUCUGGAUUUAGCUUUGAGUGCUUCAGCCGACCUGGAAUGUAUACCUGUGCAGGUGGUUGCUGGGUAGGGUGACCACUACUGUCUCUCUCCAUCACCCAGGGCUGUGCUCAGCUCAAAGCAACAGAAGCCCAGGCAUGGUGGCAUCUCCGGGGGGACGUUGCCUUAUUCCAGAUUCUCAGGUCCAGGGGCAGAGGGUCCAGGGGAAGUCUGGGGCCGCAGGAUAUCGCCCAGAGCCUGGCUUCUUCUGCCUUUCUGCCACCAUCCUCAGCUGGUGCCUUCACCUUGAGGCCUCCUGUGGCUGCUGGUGCUGCCGCUCUUGGCCUCCUGUCUGCCUUCAGCCAGGAGAGGAGAAAGGAGGAGGUGAGAGGAGGAAGGGGCUUAAAUAGAAGGCCACACUUACCCAGAAUCCCUAGUAGCCGCCUGUUCUGCAACCCCCUCCUUCCCGCACCCCCCCACCACUGGCUAGAGCUGUGUCACACAAGGAUGAGCAGCCAGAGAGCUGGGCACCAUCCAGGGAGCGCGUGAUCAUCAGGGUCUUGUUGGUAAGAAAAGGGCAUGUGGGUAGACAUCUGGAGUGCCUGUCAUGGUCCAAUUAACUGGCUAAAGGGAUUUGUGGGUGUGCAGCUGUUUUCAAUCAAAAGUACGUAAUUCACAUCUUCCCAAACACAGAUUCCUGCUUUUGAGUAAUGAAGGCGGCCAAACCACAUGACCCUGCCUGCAAAGAUUCCACCUGGACUCCCGGUUCCUCCAAGGAACCGUCGUGUGGUUCAAAUCCAACAGAAAUUCUCCAAAUCUCCACCCUCCUCAGGGUGCAGAGUUGGCUGCUUCUCUGUGCCCCCUGCUGAUCACCACAACCCCUGGGUGCCUCAGCCUGCGAAGCCCCAGCUGUCCUCCGUCUGCAGACAAGCCAAGGUGUGAAAGCCUCCUCGCUGGCCCAGGAGCCUGUCAUUGUCCUCCAGCAGCUCUAGCCUGGAUGCGGUCCCAGAGAUAAAUCAUAUCUCUUUAAAAAGCCACAGUGGCCCAUUAUUUCUGCUUGAAAACACCCCUGGCUCUCUGCUGGUGAGCUGGGUGACAGGCCCCGGCUGUUGUGCUCAGCGCUGCAUACAGUCACAUCAGUCUGUCGACUUGUGUAGUGAGCAAGCUGGUAGCUUCAGAUGGCGUGCACAUGAAAUCCCGUCCUGGCAUCCAGGACUUGGCCGGGGGUUGCAGGGAGCCAUGUCUCCUGAACAGGUAGUAAUAUUUUACAGUCCCCGCCUCAUGCCCAUGCGAAAUGCCCUGUUCAUACCUGGCUACAUGGGCAGUAGCAAAAAAGACACAAUGGCAAUCCCCGGGCUACCUUUUGCAAUAUUCAGCAACACUUUCUCAAAGAAAUUGCAAUCUUGAAAAAUAAACUGAAUACAAUUAAAGAAUUACUCUGGAUAUCUCAACCGGAAGAACAUUGUGAACCACCAUACACCCAUCACACAGGCUCACAGUUAUCAGGGUUUGCUCCUUCCUUCGAGCUCUCUCCCUUCUUCCUGCCAACUUAUUUUAAGGCAAACCCCAGACCUCACGUGGAUGUUUUCUAACAUAGCUGCAAUAUCUUUAUCACCUCCAACAAAAUUAAAAAUAAUUCCCCAUAAUUGUCUAACAUUCAGUCCAUGUUCGAAUUUCUCCAGUUGUCUCCCAAAUGUCUUUUUCCUGUUGCUUUUUGUCAAUCAAGAUUCAACAAGGGCCACAUGGCAUCUGGUUGUUAAGUCUCUAGUGUCUCUUUGGUUGACAGUGAUCCCUUCUCCCUCAUUUUACUUUUCAUGUCGCUGCUUGUUGAAUUCCCAGGAGCAGUUGCCUCUGGGGUGCUACACUUACCCAGAAUCCCUGGCAGCCAGCUGUUCAAAGAAUCUUGAAGCAAUCAGAUGGUUGGUGCGGAAUAAGGUUCGUGAAUUCUGGAUUUAGCUUUGAAUGCUUCAGCCAACCUGGAAUUUGUCUGAAUUUGUCUGCCUGCUGCCUCAUGGUGGCCCAUUUUAUUCCCUCUACCUGGAAGGACAAGUGGAUACCUCUGAGCAAUCUUGGGGAAGAGAUCAUGGUUUCCGUUGUUAGGAACAACGCUCAAAAUCCUAAGGAAAUUGAACACUUGAACAAAAGAUUCUUAGCAAAGCAAUUUUACUUCUGCGCAGAGGAGUGCCUCCUUGGCCAGUUGCCAUGAGAACACAUCUGAACAAAUGGCACGAGAGCC